rnacentral:rRNA from 1 species
UUUUAAAUAAGUAAGAGUAUAUGGUGGAUGCCUUGGGUCUGGAAGUCGAUGAAGGACGUGAUUACCUGCGAUAAGCCUCGUGGAGCUGGAUAUGCGCUAUGAAACGGGGAUUUCCGAAUGGGGGAACCUAGCUAAGGGAAAGCUUAGCUGCCAUCUAAUGAAUAAAAUAGUUAGUUGAGCGAGACACGUUGUGAACUGAAACAUCUUAGUAGCAACAGGAAGAGAAAAUAAAUAAUGAUUCUAUCAGUAGCGGCGAGCGAACGUAGAAGAGCCCAAACCAACAUAUGUUGGGGUUGUAGGACAGUCUACAUGAAGUUACAAAAUUGUGUUAUAGCAGAAUGUGUUGGGAAACACAAGCAUAGAGGGUGAAACUCCCGUAUGCGAAAUGGCACAAUCUUCUGACUGUAUCCUGAGUAGGGCGGGGCACGUGAAACCCUGUCUGAAUCUGCCGGGACCAUCCGGUAAGGCUAAAUACUAACCAGACACCGAUAGUGAACUAGUACCGUGAGGGAAAGGUGAAAAGAACCCCGGGAGGGGAGUGAAAUAGAUUCUGAAACCGUAUACUUACAAUUAGUCAGAGCGCGUUAAAGCGUGAUGGCGUACAUCUUGCAGUAUGGACCGGCGAGUUAUGUUAACAUGCGAGGUUAAGUGGAAAAAAGCGGAGCCGUAGAGAAAUCGAGUCUUAAUAGGGCGCUUUAGUAUGUUGACAUAUACCCGAAACCAGGUGAUCUAUUCAUGAGCAGACUGAAGCUUGGCUAAUCCCAAGUGGAGGGUCGAACCGUAGUACGCUGAAAAGUGCCCGGAUGACUUGUGAAUAGCGGAGAAAUUCCAAUCGAACUUGGAGAUAGCUGGUUCUCCUCGAAAUAGCUUUAGGGCUAGCGUGUGAUGUUAAACUUUGGUGGUAGAGCACUGAAUAUGGAAUGGCCGCGCCUAGCGGUACUGACUAUAAUCAAACUCCGAAUACCAUUGUGAAUUGUCAUGCAGUCGGAACCGGGGUGCUAACGUCCCGGCUCGCGAGGGCAACAACCCAGAUCGUCGGCUAAGGUCCCAAAAUCGUGUUAAGUGAGAAAGGUUGUGAGUUUUCAUAAACAACUAGGAGGUUGGCUUAGAAGCAGCCAUCCUUUAAAGAGUGCGUAAUAGCUCACUAGUCAAGAGAACUUGCGCCAAUAAUGUAACGGGACUAAAACACGAUACCGAAGCCACGGGUACAUUUUUGUACGUUAGAGGAGCGUUCUUAGGGCAAUGAAGUAUGACCGUGAGGACAUAUGGAGCGCUAAGAAGUGAGAAUGCCGGUAUGAGUAACGAUUCGCGGUGAGAAUCCGCGACGCCUAUUGGGAAAGGUUUCCUGGGGAAGGUUCGUCCACCCAGGGUUAGUCAGGACCUAAGGGGAGGCUGAUAAGCGUACCCGAUGGACAACAGGUUAAUAUUCCUGUACUGUCAAUAACUAGUGAUGGAAUGACGGAGAAGGAUAGCAAUACCCAUUAUUGGAUUUGGGGGCAAGCAUCAACUGGUCAAUGUAGUAAAAUGCGCAUUGUAUAACCGGGAGAUGUGAUGCAUAGUGAAAGGCGACGAGUAACGAAUUUUGUGAUUUCACACUUCCAAGAAAAGUUUCUAAACGUUUAAAGUUAUUGAUACCUGUACCGAGAACGGACACACGUUCCCAAGAUGAGUAUUCUAAGGCGAGCGAGAAAACCAAUGUUAAGGAACUCUGCAAAUUGACCCCGUAAGUUCGCGAGAAGGGGAGCCCAUCUUGAAUGGGCCACAGUAAAUUGUGAGGGGCAACUGUUUAUCAAAAACACAGCUCUCUGCUAAACCGCAAGGUGAUGUAUAGGGGGUGAAGCCUGCCCAGUGCCCGAAGGUUAAGUGGAUGCGUUAGCUUUAAGCGAAGCGUUGAAAUGAAGCCCGGGUGAACGGCGGCCGUAACUAUAACGGUCCUAAGGUAGCGAAAUUCCUUGUCGGCUAAAUACUGACCUGCACGAAAGGCGCAAUGAUCUCUCAACUGUCUCAACAUUGGACUCGGUGAAAUUAUGGUCCCAGUGAAAACGCUGGGUACCCGCAUCAAGACGAAAAGACCCCAUGGAGCUUUACUACAACUUCGUAUUGAAAUUUGGCCUAACAUGUGUAGGAUAGGUGGGAGACUUUGAAGUUAAGACGCCAGUCUUAAUGGAGUCAUCCUUGAAAUACCACCCUUGGUAUGUUGAAUUUCUAACCUGCCGCCGUAAUCCGGUGGGGGGACAGUGCGUGGUGGGUAGUUUGACUGGGGCGGUCGCCUCCUAAAAGGUAACGGAGGCGUUCAAAGGUACACUCAAUACGGUCAGAAACCGUAUGCAGAGCGCAAAGGUAGAAGUGUGCUUGACUGCGAGACCUACAAGUCGAGCAGGUGCGAAAGCAGGACUUAGUGAUCCGGCUGUACGUCAUGGAACGGCAGUCGCUCAACGGAUAAAAGUUACCCUGGGGAUAACAGGCUUAUCUUGCCCAAGAGAUCACAUCGACGGCAAGGUUUGGCACCUCGAUGUCGGCUCAUCGCAUCCUGGAGCUGGAGUCGGUUCCAAGGGUUUGGCUGUUCGCCAAUUAAAGCGGUACGCGAGCUGGGUUCAGAACGUCGUGAGACAGUUCGGUCCCUAUCUGAUGUGGGCGUUGGAAUAUUGAUGAGAGCUGCUCUUAGUACGAGAGGACCGGAGUGGACACACCGCUGGUGUUCCUGUUGUUUCGCCAGAAGCAUAGCAGGGUAGCCAAGUGUGGAAAGGAUAACCGCUGAAAGCAUCUAAGUGGGAAGCCUCCUCAAAGAUGAGUAUUCCCUUGAAAUUCCUUGUAGACUACGAGGUUGAUAGGAUGGAAGUGUACGUGUAGCAAUACAUUCAGCUGACCAUUACUAAUAAAUUGAUAGGUUUAAAAGU